rnacentral:rRNA from 1 species
UACGUAGGGUGCGAGCGUUGUCCGGAAUUAUUGGGCGUAAAGGGCUCGUAGGCGGUUUGUCGCGUCGGGAGUGAAAACACUGGGCUUAACUCAGUGCUUGCUUCCGAUACGGGCGGACUAGAGGUAUUCAGGGGAGAACGGAAUUCCUGGUGUAGCGGUGAAAUGCGCAGAUAUCAGGAGGAACACCGGUGGCGAAGGCGGUUCUCUGGGAAUGUCCUGACGCUGAGGAGCGAAAGUGUGGGGAGCGAACAGG